UACGUAGGGGGCUAGCGUUGUCCGGAAUCAUUGGGCGUAAAGCGCGUGUAGGCGGCCCGGUAAGUCCGUUGUGAAAGUCAAAGGCUCAACCUUUGAAUGCCGAUGGAUACUGCAGGGCUAGAGUCCGGAAGAGGCAAGUGGAAUUCCUGGUGUAGCGGUGGAAUGCGCAGAUAUCAGGAGGAACACCGGUGGCGAAGGCGCCACUCUGGGCCGAAACUGACGCUGAGGAGCGAAAGCGUGGGUAGCAAACAGG
rnacentral:rRNA from 1 species